AAAAGCAACCAUCUCCUAAGACUAAUUGGAGAUUUUUAUAAUUAAGAUAGUAUCAUUUAUAUUCUUAAUGCACCUUCUAAGUAAAUCAUUUAACUUGAAUAAUGCUUUUUAUGCUUAGAAAAGCAAUGUUUAGUAUAUAACACUAGUUGUUAAGCUUUAAUAAAAGAAUAAUGCUUUUUGCAUUGGGUAGUCAUUUAAUGAUGUACACUCAGGAGACAACAUAAUUGCUGUCUCUUGGAAAGAAGAUCCAAAACAGAUUUUAUUUGGGUGGUUCAUUCUGAUGGGACUUUGGGUUUAAUCCCAUAUCAUUGAAAGAAUUAGCUGUUAUUUGACAUAAAUCUAAAGAUUACAUUUAAAUAAUGUUUGUUGUGAGUUUAAGGUUGUUAGAUGAAAGGUGAUACUUAAAGAGGGACUUGUUUUCAGUAUGAUCAAAAGAUAGCCAUUCCAAAUUUAAAAAAAAAAAAAAAACCUUAAAAUAAAAUAGGUUUAUUCUUGUAAAAAAUAUAGCAAUCUUCAUGUCGUAUUUAGUGUUUUUAAAUGCAUUUUACUGCAACGUUAAAAAUAUAUAUUUUGUGAAAGUUUUGGGUUUUUUUCUUCAUAGGGCCUUUAAAAGGUAUUUUUUAAACUGAAUUUGCGGUGUUCUUGUAUUUAGUAGUAGUUUUACAGAAACAGAUAAAUGGAAGAGACUUUGGCUGUCAGAGUAUUAUAAGUUAGGUAUGUUAUUUCUUUAGCAGUGAAAGAAUAAGGGAGAAAAGACAAUCAGUUGAAUUUUACUUUCAGAAUUUUAAUGUCAACAUUCAAAUAAAAAACUGAAUUCUACAUGCUUUAUACAUGUGUGAGUCAUAAGAGAAUAACAUUUUCUUGUAUUGAAAUUCUGAUUUUUUUCCCCUUCUGUUUUGAAUGUUAUGUAUUGUGAUUUGUUUCUUUUUAUACUUUAUAACAUUGAACAUAUUCAGUUGUGGUUUGCUAUACAAAAAGCUAUUGCAGUUUUUGCUGUUAAAUUCAUUUCACAGUGGUUGCUGCCCAAAAUUACAGUUCACCUAGAAGUAGAUUUGAUUAGAUGUCUUUUUUUCUAGUUGGAUUAUAUUAUUUUAGGCCAUUUGGUUGUUUUAUUAGAGUGAUCCCUUUAUAAAUAUAAUUUUGGAGUUUUUAAUGAUACCUAAAUAGAUAUAAUGUUGUUACUUCUAAUGAAUUGGUUCUUUAUAAAGCCUUGAAUUAUUGGCCACAUAGAUUGAUGGUACUGAUUUGUUAAUUUAUGGUGUCAAAUCAAUUCUGUAUGGAGAAAUUAUUUUUGAAAAAUUUAUUCAUUGAAUUUGUACAUUAGUGGUUUAUAAGUACCUAAUUGAAGUGCUUAAAGAAAUUAUACUAAAUUGAUGUAAUAAAUCUGAAUUUGGACAUAGUGAUUUUGCAGUUACCCUUUUUUUUUUCUAGAAAUAAGCAGAACUUUUGAUCAUAAGCUUUUUAUUUGCAUUGUUAGCAAUUUAAUGUGGAAUAGCUCGAUCAUUAACUGACAUUGUAAACAUACUUUUAUGUGUAUAUAUAUAGGGAGAGAUGGAAGAGAAUGGUACAGAUCAUCUUCAUGCUUUAAAAAUUACAUUGAUUGUUGUGGUUCUGAUAUUAUCUUAAUUAUAAAAAUAACUUCAUUUUUCAGGUAGCUCUUCUAGUAAUUUCAGACAGUAAUAGUUUUAUCAUACCAUGAACUUCUUUUUAAGCCCCUCUUAAAGAAAAUUAUUGUGGUUGCCUUUACUAAAAAUCAUCCUUUUACCAUUAGUUUUUAAGUUGUUCUAAUUUAAUAGCUACAAGUAAACACAAAUAAUGUCUUUGCAUCCCUUUAUUUGGCUUACCAAUUAUAUUUUAGUUGGAUGGUAAAACGAUCAUAUAGAUAAAUCCGCCAAGAGUUUUGCACUCUGUUGUGAGAAGUCUAUUUUUCUUACAAAUAUUUGUGUAUGUUUUAAAGGAGAAAAUCUUUUUUCAGUAAUGUUAAGAGUAAGAGAAGUUAUUGGAUUUUUUGAGCAAAUAUUACUGUUUCCAAGCACUGCCCCCCUUCCCUUUGAUGUAUAUAGCUUUUUGGGCAAAUGAAAAGGAAAUUGAGUAUUUGGGUAGAUAGGUUGAAUGUUAUCACUUUAUGCGGCCACUCUGCUUGUUGAAAGAAAAGUAUAAAUGAAGUUAAUGCACUUCAUUUUACAACUCAGAAGUCACUGUGAUAUAUAUAUUUUUUAAUGCUAGAAACAAAACUCAGAUGAAAAGUUAAUUCAAAAGCACUGCUUCAUUUAUUCUAGCAAUUGUUAAAUUGUUUUCUGCACACUGCAUUUUGCAAAAUUUAAACUCAAGUGUAUUAUUAACUUUUAUAGUUUAAAUAUUGUAUUAAAUAAAUAAUAUAAUAAAGUAGUAGUUUGUCAUUUUUCUUUUGCCUGAAAUCAUUAAGACCAGGAAAUGAUGCAGAGGCUAGUUUUAGAAUUUGAUUUGGAGACAUUUUAGAAUCAAAUGCAAAUGUCUAAUUACAUUGCUUUGUUACAGUGUAUGUAUCAGCCUCUGAGCAAAUAGUUAAGACUAAAAUGGAACAUAGAAUAACAAAUUUGCAUUAUUGUAUGUUAGAAGGUAACAAAUUUGCGUUAUUGUAUGUUGGAAGGUUUACUUUUUAAAAUCAGUUCAGAUUUUGCAACAUGCAGAAUGCCUGCAGUAAAUCUUGCAUCCGUGCUUGACAGUUAAAAUCUUAUCUUUGUAAAUCUAUAUAAAUGUUGCUGAUUUGUAUGUAACAUCUACUGGUAGCUAUUUAUAGUAAAGCUCCCAAUUUAUUUGAGAAAAGAUAUGUGUUUUAGUAUAAAUAAUGUGGGAGCCAGCUAGUCACUUAAAAUAAUUUGUGACAGCUAUAGAGGUCUAGAGAAAAAUGUUCUGAUCAUUAAGUGCAUUUGUAUGUGUAACCUGGAAUGUGUUAACUGGUUAUUUUAUUAAUCCUAAAAUUUUGAGAUUUUUUUUUAAUAUGGCUAUUAUGAACCAGGAGAAAAUGUAAAAUGUGAGCACUUAAUAUUGACUGUGUAACUUGUGUAUUAAAAUAUUUUCAGAAAUAUUUACUGCUUUUCAUAUUUUCACUGACUUUUAGUUUUGUUUCCCGACUUUUUAGCAAUCACAAUUUAUAAGGUGCUCAUCUACCUCUUCUUGCUCAAAGUAUUUCCCCUAUUCAUGUUUACAAGUCUACAAAAAUUUUAAUAAUGUUACCCAUAACUUUUUUUAAUUGAGGGUUUAUUAUGUAUUUGGAGUAGCAAAGUGGAUUGUAUCAUUGUGGCUCCUACUUUUUCACACAGUUAUGGUUAUCAAAUAGUUACGGUUCUUAUAUUAAUAAGCACUUAAAUGCACAUCUUAAAAAACUAGUGUUGGAGACAAGAUCUGACCCCUGAACUCAGUAUGAUAAACCCACAUUUAAAAUGAUUCAAAUAAUUACCAAAUUCACUUAUUUAAGACCACAGAGCCAAUUUAGAAUUUCAUGUUUAAGGUGGUGGUACUCAUUAACCCUUUAAAGCUAGCUUGUAGAAAGAGUUGCUUUGGUGUUUAACAAACUACAGUAGAGGGGAUAUAUUUCUCAAUAUAUUUUUACUUUUACAUUUUUUCAACACCUUUAUUUUAAAGGGUUCAGUUACUUUUAUCUAUUCCCUGUUUGUUUUUUGUUUUUAAGCUAAAGUUUGUUAGUAUAAUAGGAUGCUAUUUUAAGAAAGGUCAAGAACCACUUCCUACAUUCAUGUUUUUAAUACUAAAAACUAGACUUAUAAUUGAUAAAUACAACUUCCUAAAAGUAAACUUAAUAUACAAAUGUAAGUAAUUUUACAAGGAAAAAAAUCAUUCAUUUCAUGUUCCAGGUCAGAAGUCAAAGAUUAGAGUAAUACCUAUUUGUUUAAAAAAAAAAUAGUAAUUUACUUUUGUAAUAUAGCAUGAUGGGUAAAAUCACAAGACUGGGUUUAAUUCUUUUCCAUGUGUAGUGUCAAGGGCAAAACAACACUUUGGGGCCUCGGUUUUCUAUAAAGUUGAGAUACAAUAAUCCUUGUAUUAGUUACUUCAAAGUACUUUAUGAAUCCAAGUUACCAGGUUUAUAGAUGUCCAAAGAAUGCAGUCAUGCAGUUGAUAGUGGAAGUGAAAAGGGCACUGGAUCCAGAGGACAUGGGUUCAAAUCCCUGUUUGACUUCGGCCAAGUCAUUUAAUCACUGUGUGCUUCCAUUUUAUUGAAUAUAAAAUGAGGCUGAAUUGAUGAGAUGAUAUGAGUUAACUUCAGUCGCAAAUCUAUGGUUUUAUUUUAAAAGUGGGGGGAUAUUCUAAGAGUUCCAUGAGUUUUAAGUAGAUCUUAGUGUCCAAGAUGAUCUACCAAUACAACAGUUAUCGAUUUUAAAUGUAUUUCAAGUGUUAAAAAAAAAAAAAGAAAAGAAAAGAAAAGAAAAAUUACAACAUUUUCCACUAGGUUUCUGACCUAUCCAUUGUAUCACAAUGUUUAUCAUUGCAAUUGCUAUCCAGAUGUUUCACUUGUGAAUGUUCUAAUCCAUUCCCACAGGAAUAUUACAAUCUAGGUCAAUUAAGAUAAAAACUUAAUUUUAUUGCUUGGGGGAGAGUUUUUUGCGCUAUGUACAAUCUUUUACUUUCACCUUGAAGAUUGUUCCUUUAAAACACGUGCUUAAUCUGUAUUUGUUAUUUAAUAGCUGUGGAGAAGUCUUUCUGAUCUCUGAAAGGGAUAAAAUGUGAAUAUGUUGUCUAACCCAUAUAAGAGGGUAUAGGAAUCCUUUGAGCUUAGCAUUUAAUUAUCAAGUCUCACUGAACGCAGUCAUCCUGAUUGAGAGGUAUCAAUUGUCAGUAGGUUAUAAUAACUAAAAACACCAGAAUAUGGCAUUUUAGAUAAUAGUUAAUGACUCAAACAAUUAUUUGACAUAUAUGUUACAUACAUAGUUCUUUUGAUAAUUGCUUCUGAUUUUUUGGUAACAAUACAGGACUUUUGUUUUUCUAGGUCAGUUCAUUGAAAUGGAUAGAGACAAAGAAACUUGGUUUUUGAAAAGAUCUAAUAGUUUCUCACCCACUCAUUUGUAAUGUAUUUCAGAACUGUGAAGGCUUGUGCUUGAAAAAUUGAAUGCAUUUGAAAAGCUAUUUACUAUUUACUUAUUAGGGUUUGAUCUUGAUAUAAUGUGAUUUGAGUGUUUUUAAAAUGUCAUGCUUUGAGUUUAUAAAAAACAAAAUGUUAUUUUUAAAUAAAUGUACUUAAAGCUUAAAAGCAAAAAAUGGGGAAAACAGGAUUUAAAAUAUAAAGCAAUAAAUUUCCAAUUCAAGAAAACUUAUAUAAUAAAUGCCACAUGAGUUCGGAGCUGUC